UAUGUGUGCCCAAGCAUUGAGGCAGUCAAAGUAGGCAAAUCCGCUUUGAUAAUGCUGGGAUGUGAUGGGGAGCGAAAUUUAGUAGCGAAGUAGCUGAUUUCACACUGUCAAGAAAAGUCUCUAUCGAGGUUAAAGGUACCCGUACCGCAAACCGACACAGGUGGGGGAGGAGAGUAUCCUAAGGCCAGCGAGAGAACUGUUGUUAAGGAACUCGGCAAAAUGACCCCGUAACUUAGGGAUAAGGGGUGCCACCAUCAGGUGGCCGCAGAGAAUAGGCCCAAGCGACUGUUUACCAAAAACAUAGGUUUCUGCUAAGUCGCAAGACGAUGUAUAGGAGCUGACGCCUGCCCGGUGCUGG
rnacentral:rRNA from 1 species